UCCUUUUUCUUGUUUUUCCUUUUUACUUUCCGUUACCCUUUUAUCUUAUUCUCCUUCCUCUUUCUUCUUCUUUGCUCAAGUGUCCUCUUUUAUAUUCUUUGUCUCUUUUCUUUGUUUGUCUCUUCUUUUUAUCAUAUUUUCCCUCUUCCUUCUUUUUAUUCUUCUUAGAUGUACUGGUCUCUUCACAUAACUGUACAAUAUGGUGCUUAAAUCAACAGCUCAUCUCAUCUUUGAAGAAAAAAGCUUUAUUAAUUAAAUAAGUUUCAAAUUAUCAUUAUAUGGGUUUGACCAAAGUUCUUUCCAGGUACUUAGUCAAAAUUUAAUCUUUCAGGAAUCGAAGUCAUUUCUAAAUCAUUCAAUGCCGAUUUAACGAGAAUUUAAUCGGAUAAUUUGAAGAACGAUCCGAUUUAAUAAGCAUUUAAUCGGAUACGGUGAAGAAAGAUACGAUUUAAUAAGCAUUUAAUCGGCUAAGUUUAAAAAUUAUUCGAUUAACAAUUAUUUGAUGAGCUAAGUUGUAAGAGAAAGUAUUUGAUCUUAUUCUUUUUCUUCGUUUUUUUUUCUUUUCUUUUUCUUGUUCUUCUGUCACUUCAUUUCCACCCAUUCUCUCUCACUCCCAUCUCUGUGCUAUAAGUGUGUUUCAUUUCCAGACCCACAACACAACCCUGAUAUAAUAUACUGAGCUCUGCCGAUCAAAACACUAAACAUAGGUGAUCAAACCCCCCCCCUUUUUUUCCCAUCCUCCCAAACCCUCACACCCGGAAAAUAGAUUCUAUAUGGAGAAAUAAAAAAACAAUUAAUGUAUGAUACUGUAUUUAUGUGUAAAUGUAUAUGUACUGAUAGAGUUAAGGACACUCAGUAUGGAUAAUCUAGUCUUUGUAACUGUCUUUGUAAAUGUUAUUAACUAAUUCUUAAAUUAAAUCCUACUUUUCUUA